GUGCUCCUACGGGGCGCAGCAGAGGGGGAUAUUGCACAAUGGGGGAAACCCUGAUGAAGCGACGCCGCGUGGGUGAAGAAGCGCCUCGGCGCGUAAAGCCCUGUCAGCAGGGAAGAAAAUGACGGUACCUGAAGAAGAAGCCCCGGCUAACUACGUGCCAGCAGCCGCGGUAAUACGUAGGGGGCAAGCGUUAUCCGGAUUUACUGGGUGUAAAGGGGGCGCAGACGGCGAUGCAAGCCAGGCGUGAAAGCCCGG
rnacentral:rRNA from 1 species